rnacentral:misc_RNA from 1 species
GCAAACUUGGUCAUUUAGAGGAAGUAAAAGUCGUAACAAGGUCUCCGUUGGUGAACCAGCGGAGGGAUCAUUACCGAGUUUACAACUCCCAAACCCACUGUGAACUUAUACCUUUAUCGUUGCUUCGGCGGGUCUAGGCCCCGGCGCUGCCCCGAUCCCCCCAGGGGGAGAGAGGCGAGCCGGACAACAGGGCCCCCGCCGGAGGACCCAAACUCUUGAAUUUUCGCGACCUGUCGCGGGCAGUUUGUAUUCUGAUUAUUCUAAAACAAAUGAAUCAAAACUUUCAACAACGGAUCUCUUGGUUCUGGCAUCGAUGAAGAACGCAGC